UAACACGUAGGGUGCGAGCGUUGUCCGGAAUUAUUGGGCGUAAAGAGCUCGUAGGCGGUGUGUCGCGUCGGCCGUGAAAACCUGCAGCUUAACUGUGGGCUUGCGGUCGAUACGGGCAUCACUGGAGUUCGGCAGGGGAGACUGGAAUUCCUGGUGUAGCGGUGAAAUGCGCAGAUAUCAGGAGGAACACCGGUGGCGAAGGCGGGUCUCUGGGCCGAUACUGACGCUGAGGAGCGAAAGCGUGGGGAGCGAACAGGAUUAGAUACCCUGGUAGUCCACGCCGUAAACGUUGGGCGCUAGGUGUGGGGGCCAUUCCACGGUCUCUGUGCCGUAGCUAACGCAUUAAGCGCCCCGCCUGGGGAGUACGGCCGCAAGGCUA
rnacentral:rRNA from 1 species